GCGCCCGUAGCUCAGCUGGAUAGAGCGCUGCCCUCCGGAGGCAGAGGUCAGAGGUUCGAAUCCUCUCGGGCGCG
rfam:Acidihalobacter prosperus strain DSM 5130 contig_03, whole genome shotgun sequence.